rnacentral:rRNA from 1 species
CCUACGGGAGGCAGCAGUAGGGAAUAUUGCUCAAUGGGCGAAACCCUGAAGCAGCAACGCCGCGUGGAGGAUGAAGGUUUUCGGAUUGUAAACUCCUUUUGUUAGAGAAGAUAAUGACGGUAUCUAACGAAUAAGCACCGGCUAACUCCGUGCCAGCAGCCGCGGUAAUACGGAGGGUGCAAGCGUUACUCGGAAUCACUGGGCGUAAAGAGCGCGUAGGCGGGAUAGCAAGUCAGAUGUGAAAUCCUAUGGCUUAACCAUAGAACUGCAUUUGAAACUGGUAUUCUAGAGUAUGGGAGAGGUAGGUGGAAUUCUUGGUGUAGCGGUAAAAUGCGUAGAGAUCAAGAGGAAUACUCAUUGCGAAGGCGACCUGCUAGAACAUAACUGACGCUGAUGCGCGAAAGCGUGGGGAGCAAACAGGAUUAGAUACCCCGGUAGUC